CAAUACUUACAGAGGGUCCCACCAAACCCAUCACCAUCUUUUUAAUUAUCCAUCUUCUGUUAAUAAUCGUUUCUUUCUGUAUAAUAAAACUAUAACAGUUACAGUUAUAUAUACACAUUGAACCCUAAUUCCCAUUCUCUUUCAACUCUUAACACAUCACUGUUUUCGCCACUUUACUAUUGGCGAGAGAUGCAAGAUCCAAGGAUUCCUUUGUCAAAGGAGAUCAUGAAUAACAAACCAAAGAAGAAGAAAAGCUCAAGUCAGCAGGCAUCUUUAUAUCAGUUGCAAGGGAGUAAUGUCAAGGAAGAGUUACUGGUUCCUAUGUCACUGAAAUCAGGACAGAAGGGUUCCAAAAGACACUUGACGACUGAAGCGUCACCACCUUUUCAGAAACAAGAGGGUUCAAACUCCGAUUCAUUACCCGACUCCUCUGUAGGUGGAAACGAGUAUCGAACAUUGAGGCGUAAGUAUUUGAUGCUGGAGGAUGAGAGCUUUGCAUUGGGGAAAGAGUUAAGAGAUGUUGAAGAUGAGGUGAAGACCCUUGAAGAUGAGAAAAUUGCACUGCUCGAUCAGCUUGUUGUAAUGGAAGGACUUGUUGAUCCAUCGGAGAUGCAUUCUUAGUUUUACAGUUAUUUAGCACUGUGUAUGUGAUUUCAUCUUCUGAACAUGACAAUUAUAUGUUUUAUAGUGCCUAAAAUAGAAGUCAAUGUUUGGCUCCUUUUGUGUAACUUUAUAGAAAUUGGAUGGAUAAAAAACAUUUGUAAACUAAAACACUACCCUUCGAUCAUUAAUGUCUAGAAUGCUGG
rnacentral:lncRNA from 1 species